UCAUGGAUUAGGUUUUCUAUUUCUUUAUUCCUUUCUUUUUUUAUUUUAGAGCACAAGGCUAUAAGGUGACCUCUCAAGACACAUUUAUGUGUUUCCCAUAAGAUGGCUGGGUUCGUUUCAGUUCGGCUCUUAGACUGUCGGUCGAUUCGCGUAGCAGGUUUUUGAUGUCAUCCUUCGUUGGAAGUGCUUUCAGAUUGAAGAUCUCCUGAUGAAUUUCCCAAUACUGACAACUUCCUGGUCAAGUGAUCAACCAACAAAUUUUCCCUCUGUGAUACAUAUGUGACAUUUGGAUGCAGCAUAAACUGGGCUCAGUCAAAUAUAGUCUUGGUCAAAUACAAUAGAUCUGAUGAUUUGUUUCCUCCUUGAUGAG